AGAGUUUGAUUCUGGCUCAGAUUGAACGCUGGCGGCGUGCUUAACACAUGCAAGUCGAACGUGAAAGUCCUUCGGGACGAGUAAAGUGGCGCACGGGUGAGUAACGCGUGGAUAAUCUACCCUUAAGAUGGGGAUAACGGCUGGAAACGGUCGCUAAUACCGAAUACGCUCCCGAUUUUAUCGUUGGGGGGAAAGAUGGCCUCUGCUUGCAAGCUAUCGCUUAAGGAUGAGUCCGCGUCCCAUUAGCUAGUUGGCGGGGUAACGGCCCACCAAGGCAACGAUGGGUAGCCGGUCUGAGAGGAUGACCGGCCACACUGGAACUGGAACACGGUCCAGACUCCUACGGGAGGCAGCAGUGGGGAAUAUUGCGCAAUGGGCGAAAGCCUGACGCAGCGACGCCGCGUGAGGGAUGAAGGUUCUCGGAUCGUAAACCUCUGUCAGGGGGGAAGAAACCCCCUCGUGUGAAUAAUGCGAGGGCUUGACGGUACCCCCAAAGGAAGCACCGGCUAACUCCGUGCCAGCAGCCGCGGUAAUACGGAGGGUGCAAGCGUUAAUCGGAAUCACUGGGCGUAAAGCGCACGUAGGCGGCUUGGUAAGUCAGGGGUGAAAUCCCACAGCCCAACUGUGGAACUGCCUUUGAUACUGCCAGGCUUGAGUACCGGAGAGGGUGGCGGAAUUCCAGGUGUAGGAGUGAAAUCCGUAGAUAUCUGGAGGAACACCGGUGGCGAAGGCGGCCACCUGGACGGUAACUGACGCUGAGGUGCGAAAGCGUGGGUAGCAAACAGGAUUAGAUACCCUGGUAGUCCACGCU
rnacentral:rRNA from 1 species